UACGUAGGGGCGAGCGUUGUCCGGAAUUACUGGGCGUAAAGGGCGCGUAGGCGGCCUGAUAAGUUUCGUGUGAAAACCCUGUUUUUAAGGCAGGAGGUGCACGGAAAACUGUUUGGCUUGAGUGCAGGAGAGGGAAGCGGAAUUCCAAGUGUAGCGGUAAAAUGCGCAGAUAUUUGGAGGAACACCGGUGGCGAAGGCGGCUUCCUGGACUGUAACUGACGCUGAUGCGCGAAAGCGUGGGGAGCAAACAGGAUUAGAUACCCUGGUAGUCCCUGAGCGGG
rnacentral:rRNA from 1 species